UACGGAGGGUGCAAGCGUUGUUCGGAAUCACUGGGCGUAAAGCGCGUGUAGGCGGCUUCGUAAGUCUGGUGUGAAAGCCCGGGGCUCACCCCCGGAAGUGCACUGGAAACUGCAAGGCUCGAGUACCGGAGAGGAGGGUGGAAUUCCUGGUGUAGCGGUGAAAUGCGUAGAUAUCAGGAGGAACACCGGUGGCGAAGGCGGCCUUCUGGACGAUGUCUGACGCUGAGCCGCGAAAGCGUGGGGAGCAACCAGG
rnacentral:rRNA from 1 species